GAUGAACGCUAGCGGCAGGCCUAAUACAUGCAAGUCGAACGGGAUUGCGGUGUAGCUUGCUACACUGCAUGAGAGUGGCGCACGGGUGCGUAACGCGUGAGCAACCUACCCAUAUCAGGGGGAUAGCCCGGAGAAAUCCGGAUUAACACCGCAUGGGACAGUAUUACCGCAUGGUAUAGCUGUUAAAUAUUUAUAGGAUAUGGAUGGGCUCGCGUGACAUUAGCUAGUUGGUGGGGUAACGGCCCACCAAGGCGACGAUGUCUAGGGGCUCUUAGAGGAGAAGCCCCCACACUGGUACUGAGACACGCACCAGACGCCUACGGUAGGCAGCAGUAAGGAAUAUUGGGCAAUGGGCGGAAGCCUGAACCAGCAAUGCCGCGUGCAGUACGACUGCCCUAUGGGUUGUAAACUGCUUUUGUACGGGAAUAACCCUCUCUACGAGUAGAGAGCUGAACGUACCGUAAGAAUAAGGAUCAGCUAACUCCGUGCCAGCCGCCGCGGUAA
rnacentral:rRNA from 1 species